ensembl:lncRNA
AGUAAACAAGAAAGGUCUGGGAAAAGACAGCUCUGUAGGGCAGAUUUCACCAAGAAGCUAGAAGGAAGAAAAGGGAGAAUUUCAAGUGUAACUUACUAAGUCUAGAUACGGAUAUAAGCUUUAAUAUGGAAAAGGAGGAGACUGGUCUUCAUCUGCAAAAAAUGAAUGGCUGUAGAAGAGAUAACAAUAAGUGAAGAAGAGAUCAGAGGGAAGUCAUGCUUCAUACGUGCCUUUGUUUCCACAGCAUGCGUUUGCUCAUCACAACCAUCACAGGAUCUGAGCUUGCCACCUCUACAAAUCUGCAGAGCUCACAGCUUGUGAUACUUUUCAAAUUAGCUUGGAAAUGACUUCUCACCUGCAAGUGAUUGCCUCAUUAUUCUCUUCUAUGCUGACCUUAGCCUACUUGAAACAAGGAGUUCACCAAAUCAAUGCAGCAUUUUAUGGUGCUGUAGACUUAGAGUGAGAGUUUCCAAGGACCUGUAUUUAAGGUGGACAACUUACCACUAAACAGACAGGGAGACAAUGGUAAAUGGUUGAAUUCUUCCUCCCCUUUCAGUGCUCAAUAGUUGGGGUGAAAAACAGCAUCAAAUUUGCAGAGCUAGAGCACAAUAAUCCAGAUUCAUCUUUACUAUUUAAGAUUUUUUAGUUAUAAGCAGUGUUUACAACCUACUGCGGUGUACUAGCAGCCUUUGCAAGGCUGCAGCAAUAUUCAGUACUACAUGUAUGCUGUAUUUCAUGAAAAACAGAAGUUCAUGUAAUGUGACCUUGUAUAUGUCUACAUUCAAAUGUAAUAUUUUUCUGCUUUUUAAUCCUUCUUUAAUAUUAGUAGAAAUCUGGCUCAGAGCUGUACAGUACCAUAGCCUUUUAUAUAUUUCUUGACCUCUCUUUCGGAUAAAGAUUCUGAUGGCAAUGUAUUAUGAAUACCAGUCAGUCUGAGGCCUAAAUGUAAUUUUUUUGAGCAAAGUAUUCUCUGACCAAAUAUAUUUUUGGUAAAAAAUCCAUAAAUUUUUUAUUGUUCCUAUUCUGCAACCCUGCAAAUAUGGUAGAAACGUGUCUUUUUUCUGCUUCAAAGAUAAUGUUUUAUGCAAUUGUGUCAUUUGAAUGAAGGCAGGAAAUAAAAUCGUUUGCUAUCC